rnacentral:rRNA from 1 species
GACGAACGCUGGCGGCGUGCCUAAUACAUGCAAGUUGAGCGAUGAAGAUUGGUGCUUGCACCAAUUUGAAGAGCAGCGAACGGGUGAGUAACGCGUGGGGAAUCUGCCUUUGAGCGGGGGACAACAUUUGGAAACGAAUGCUAAUACCGCAUAACAACUUUUAACAUAAGUUUUAAGUUUGAAAGAUGCAAUUGCAUCACUCAAAGAUGAUCCCGCGUUGUAUUAGCUAGUUGGUGAGGUAAAGGCUCACCAAGGCGAUGAUACAUAGCCGACCUGAGAGGGUGAUCGGCCACAUUGGGACUGAGACACGGCCCAAACUCCUACGGGAGGCAGCAGUAGGGAAUCUUCGGCGAUGGACGAAAGUCUGACCGAGCAACGCCGCGUGAGUGAAGAAGGUUUUCGGAUCGUAAAACUCUGUUGGUAGAGAAGAACGUUGGUGAGAGUGGAAAGCUCAUCAAGUGACGGUAACUACCCAGAAAGGGACGGCUAACUACGUG